GACGAACGCUGGCGGCGUGCCUAACACAUGCAAGUUGAACGGAGAUAUGAUUUCGGUUAUAUCUUAGUGGCGAACGGGUGAGUAACGCGUGAGCAACCUGACUCUUAGAGGGGGAUAACACUCGGAAACGGGUGCUAAUACCGCAUAAGACCACGACAUGGCAUCAUGACGAGGUCAAAGGAGCAAUCCGCUGAGAGAGGGGCUCGCGUCCCAUUAGAUAGAUGGCGGGGUAACGGCCCACCAUGUCAACGAUGGGUAGCCGAGCGGAGAGGCUGAUCGGCCACACUGGAACUGAGACACGGUCCAGACUCCUACGGGAGGCAGCAGUAGGGAAUAUUGGGCAAUGGGCGCAAGCCCGACCCAGCAACGCCGCGUGAGGGAAGAAGGCUUUCGGGUUGUAAAGCUCUUUUGUCCGGGAAGAUAAUGACUGUACCGGAAGAAUAAGCCCCGGCUAACUUCGUGCCAGCAGCCGCAGUAA
rnacentral:rRNA from 1 species